UGUGGGGCCCACCCUCAUCCCAGGGGCCCCCAAGACAGAUGCUCCUGGAUGAGAUGAAGUGUAAGCCAGGGCCUGCAAGGGAGCCACAGGCUGGGGUGGCCUUGCCUGGACAACGGCCUGUUAUUCUCCAUUUACUGCAUUUCUCUCCCGGUAAACAACAUACAACUGAGGACCCACUUCUCAUGCACAAAUGAGCAGUCCCGAACCCGAAACUUCAGUCAGCGGCUGGCCCUCUCUCUCAGGCCACCUGUCACCUGCUGGCCCAGUUGCUGCAGGGUCCAUGCCUCCCUCUGUGCCUGUACCUGCUGGAAGAGGCCGCCGCAUGUUACUCCCUGUCAAGAAAGAAUUAAAGAAGCAUCUUGGGUAGGAAGCAAUUGUGGAGGGUGGAAGUUUCUGGCCAGGCAAAUAAAUUGGAUUUAAGUAUAUUACAGUCAUAAUCUUUUUCUGCCCCUCUCCAGACGGUCUCUGUACAUGGAAAAAUGAGAAUGUAUUCGCAGACAAAGCUUGACCUGAGGGAGACGCCUGCCGGAAUCUGGAUUUUCAAUAACAUAAGACAAUAAAGCUUAGACUUCUAACCUGCCGCAAUAUGGGAAAAGUAUAAAGAGCUUAGCUGCUAAUAAAAGGGAAGGGUCUUCCCCUCAUAUUUGAAGAUCCGGACCCCCCAGAAGGACACUUCAUGAAGAUCACAGUGGGUUAGCUGGGAUCAUGCAGACACGAGGCCCCUUGUUGACCGAUUGUCUGACAGUUGUCACGUAUGGGUCUGAUAUUAAUAAGGCCCGCAUUGAUUUCCUUGGGGUAUUUUUGUCCCUGUGAGUGCACAGCCUCCUGUUGUGGCUCUAGCCUCAGUGGCGCUGAGCUACAGUUGCCCUCAGCAGGAUGCACAGGUGGGGCUGCCCUCCCUGGGGUGUGCACACCUUGCCAGUGGCACCUCCCUCGGUGGGUGGCUGGAGGGGAAGAAGGGACAUGCUAAGGACAGGGGACAGAGUCAGGGCCACUCCCUUGGAGACCGGGCACCCUGGUCCACCCACAGCAGGCAGGGCUUGUGAACGAUGGGCUUGGGAGUGAGCCUUCUCUUGUUUCGCUUGCUCAUCCAGUACUUCCUCUAGGAUGCAAGUGGGCUGCCGGCAGUGUUACUGGGGUAAGUAACUGGGUGAAGUCAGCCGGAGGAAAGCGGCAGUGCUUAGUUAAAAGUGUUCUUUGACAUGUAACAUACGGCGGAAGCGGCGGCCCGGCCUUGGUGAAUUUCAAUGCUAAGAAGCCUUGUUGCUCACCCAUCUCCUCCCACAGGGCAGAGGGCAUCGCCCUGUCCCCUUGGUCCCCACCCAGACUUUCUCCAAGGGCACUCUUCAGUGUCAUCUGCACUUUAAAAUGCCAUUGAGGCCAAGCUUUCCAAAAUAGUCCAAUUCUGCUUGUACCAGGUGCAUCCCUGCAUCUGCACCUCAGAGGAGCCAGCCUCAUCCAUAGUGCACACUGUCACCUGCUGGCCCAGUUGCUGCAGGGUCCACGCCUCCCUCUGUGCCUGUACCUGCUGGUACAGUCAGGCAUGCAGCCCACCUAGUUGCAGCCCCUGGUGAGAAGGGCGAGCAAAAAGUGCGGGAUGCUGGGCGCUCCAGGACAGGCCCAUACCCUGCCCACCUGCUGGGCACCAUUGUUCUCUAGGAACUUGCGCCCAGCACCCAGCGUCCUCUGGAGAGAAAGGAGCACAGGACAGUGUGCACCUAGGUGGGCUGCAUGCCUGACUCACUGCUGUGUCCGUAUUUUGGGAACCUUGGACACUUUCUACAGUGAGUCAGAACAAUCUCCAAGCCAUGUGGGCUUCCCUCUUUGUCAAAUACUAUUGAAACGCAGGACGCUUACAGGAACCAGGUGGCAGCUGGCGAGAUGGGGGCCGCUUCUCUCAGGGUGGAGGCUCCAGGCAGAGCUUGGAGAAAUGGCCCAGCCCAGGGUGUUCUGGGGACCUGCAGAGGGAGCUGCCUGCUUCUGGGUCAAACAAUCAGGGCUGCCAGGAGCCAGGGCUGAGCCUUGAGAUAGGGACUGAAGAACCAUCUCCUCCCCUCCAGCCAGCAUGGCAGCUGCCUGGACAGGUGAUUACCAUCGUCCUAUGACAGGAGGGCCUGAGGUCUGUGGAUGGUGUCCAUGACCUAUCGGGCCUGGAAGACCAGAGCUCAAGACCCCAGAUGGGCUCCUCGUCAGACAGGCCUGGCAUGGGAAGUGGGCACCCAGCUGUGUCACUCCCUAGUUCUGUGAGUGGAUCUUCCUGAGCCUCAGUUUCCCCAUCAGAAUACAGGAGAAACAUGGAGUUUCUAUGAACUGAAUUGGGUCCCCCUAAAAUUCCUAUGUUGAAGCCUUAACUCCCAGUGUGACCCUAUUUGGAGAAAGAGCCUACAAGGAGGUAAUAAGGGUUAGAUGGGGUCCUAAGGAUGGGGCCCAGAUAUGAUCGAAUUUGUGUCCUUAUAAGAAGAGAAACCAGAGAGCUCACUAUCCCUCUCUCUCCACCAGGUGAAGAUACAGCAAGAAGACAGGCAUUGGCAAGCCGGGAAAGGAGGGCUUACCAGAACCCAGCCAUGCUGGCAGCAUGAUCUCAGACCUCCAGCCUCCAGAAUGGAGAGAAAAAGAAGAGGAGGCAAAGACACAGACGAAACACACCAAAGGAUGGCCAUAGGAUGACAUGGGGAGAAGGCAAGCAUCAGCAAGCCAAGAAGAGGGACCUCAGAGGAAACCAUAUCUGCUGAUACCUUGAUCUUGGACUUCCAGCCUCCUGGAUGGUGAGAAAAUAAAUUUCUGUUGGUUAAACCACCCAGCCUGAGCUGCCUAAUACAGGUUGAUUUGUUCACAGCUGCCUCUGCCCUCUGCCUAGAGAGAGUUGCUCUUUUAUUCCUCAACCUCCUCUGAAGGUUUUUCCGUCUGUCACUAAGUCACCUGCUCACAGGCUUCCCAGCUUUGUGACAGGUGAACAAAACACUUACAUGUUAGAAAAAAUAUGGGCAUGGCCUUAACUCCUACUGGACCUAAACCUCUUGCAAAUAAAAACUACAAACUCUAGACAAAAAAGAAAAACAAAAAACAAGCUCUACUCAAUUCUCUGCUUAACUUUUGAACUACACAUGCUUUUAGGCAGACUCAAUGCAUUUUAGCUAAGGAUAAAAUAUCUAAACUGUGAUUUGAGCUGAUACGAAAGAGACAAAUUUGCCGUUUAAGUUUAACUGAGAAAAAAAUGAACAUUCUCUGGAAGAUUAGAACAGAGUUUAGAACCUCCACAACAUAAUGUUCCUAAUAUUCAGGAUACAAUCUAAAAUUGCUUGACAUAUGAAGAACCAGGAAAAUGCGACCCAGUUUAAACCAAAAAGUCAAUCAACUGAGAACAAUUCUGAGAUGAUCAAGAUGUUGAAAUUAAAAGACAAGGAUUUUCCCAGCACUUUGGGAGGCCGAGGUGGGCAGAUCACGAGGUCAGGAGAUUGAGACCAUCCUGGCUAAAACGGUGAAACCCCAUCUCUACUAAAAAUACAAAAAAUUAGCCGGGCAUGGUGGCAGGUGCCUGCAGUCCCAGCUACUCAG
rnacentral:lncRNA from 10 species